rnacentral:rRNA from 1 species
AUGUUAGCGGCGGACGGGKGAGUAACACGUGGGGUAACCKGCCUGUAAGACUGGGAUAACUCCGGGGAAACCGGGGCUAAUACCGGAUGGUUGUUUGAACCGCAUGGUUCAAACAUAAAAGGUGGCUUCGGCUACCACUUACAGAUGGACCCGCGGCGCAUUAGCUAGUUGGUGAGGUAACGGCUCACCAAGGCAACGAUGCGUAGCCGACCUGAGAGGGUGAUCGGCCACACUGGGACUGAGACACGGCCCAGACUCCUACGGGAGGCAGCAGUAGGGAAUCUUCCGCAAUGGACGAAAGUCUGACGGAGCAACGCCGCGUGAGUGAUGAAGGUUUUCGGAUCGUAAAGCUCUGUUGUUAGGGAAGAACAAGUACCGUUCGAAUAGGGCGGUACCUUGACGGUACCUAACCAGAAAGCCACGGCUAACUACGUGCCAGCAGCCGCGGUAAUACGUAGGUGGCAAGCGUUGUCCGGAAUUAUUGGGCGUAAAGGGCUCGCAGGCGGUUUCUUAAGUCUGAUGUGAAAGCCCCCGGCUCAACCGGGGAGGGUCAUUGGAAACUGGGGAACUUGAGUGCAGAAGAGGAGAGUGGAAUUCCACGUGUAGCGGUGAAAUGCGUAGAGAUGUGGAGGAACACCAGUGGCGAAGGCGACUCUCUGGUCUGUAACUGACGCUGAGGAGCGAAAGCGUGGGGAGCGAACAGGAUUAGAUACCCUGGUAGUCCACGCCGUAAACGAUGAGUGCUAAGUGUUAGGGGGUUUCCGCCCCUUAGUGCUGCAGCUAACGCAUUAAGCACUCCGCCUGGGRRRYACGGUCGCAGACUGAAACUCAAGGAAUUGACCGGGGGCAUAA